rnacentral:rRNA from 1 species
UUUAUGGAGAGUUUGAUCCUGGCUCAGGAUGAACGCUGGCGGCGUGCCUAAUACAUGCAAGUCGAGCGAACGGACGAGAAGCUUGCUUCUCUGAUGUUAGCGGCGGACGGGUGAGUAACACGUGGAUAACCUACCUAUAAGACUGGGAUAACUUCGGGAAACCGGAGCUAAUACCGGAUAAUAUUUUGAACCGCAUGGUUCAAAAGUGAAAGACGGUCUUGCUGUCACUUAUAGAUGGAUCCGCGCUGCAUUAGCUAGUUGGCAAGGUAACGGCUUACCAAGGCAACGAUGCAUAGCCGACCUGAGAGGGUGAUCGGCCACACUGGAACUGAGACACGGUCCAGACUCCUACGGGAGGCAGCAGUAGGGAAUCUUCCGCAAUGGGCGAAAGCCUGACGGAGCAACGCCGCGUGAGUGAUGAAGGUCUUCGGAUCGUAAAACUCUGUUAUUAGGGAAGAACAUAUGUGUAAGUAACUGUGC